rnacentral:rRNA from 1 species
GAUGAACGCUGGCGGCGUGCCUAAUACAUGCAAGUCGAGCGAACAGACGAGGAGCUUGCUCCUCUGACGUUAGCGGCGGACGGGUGAGUAACACGUGGAUAACCUACCUAUAAGACUGGGAUAACUUCGGGAAACCGGAGCUAAUACCGGAUAAUAUAUUGAACCGCAUGGUUCAAUAGUGAAAGACGGUUUUGCUGUCACUUAUAGAUGGAUCCGCGCCGCAUUAGCUAGUUGGUAAGGUAACGGCUUACCAAGGCGACGAUGCGUAGCCGACCUGAGAGGGUGAUCGGCCACACUGGAACUGAGACACGGUCCAGACUCCUACGGGAGGCAGCAGUAGGGAAUCGUCCGCAAUGGGCGGAAGCCUGACGGAGCAACGCCGCGUGAGUGAUGAAGGGCUUCGGAUCGUAAAACUCUGUUAUUAGGGAAGAACAAAUGUGUAAGUAACUAUGCACGUCUUGACGGUACCUAAUCAGAAAGCCACGGCUAACUACGUG